CAAAUCUCUAGAUAGGGCAGAGCAAAAAUAAAAAAUAAAAAAGAGAGGGAAAAAGGAAAAGAAUGAAGGAUAGAGCAAGGGCCAAUGCAGUGAGAUCAGCCAUAGUGGUGAUCGGAUCCCUGGCAUUCGGGUACUUGACCCUACAACUCGUGUUUAAGCCUUUUCUUCAAAAAGCUCAAGAACUUGAAGCCCUCCAACAACCUUCUCAAUCUUCUUCUACUUCUCAAAAACAAGAAUCCCCAACUCAGCAUUCAUAAAACCCAGUUUCUUGUUUUGGUAGAUGGAUAAAGGAGAAAAUUGGGAAGUGAAUAAUGAAGAACAAUGGAUGGAGAAUUGGGAUAGACGGCGAAGAAUGGCUGUAGCUCAAGUGCUUUGUUAUGUAGUGCAUGCCAUAUGUGUGUACCAUGUGCAUUACCGUAGAUAUAUUAAUGUGCCUGGAAAGUCUUCAAAAUGCAAGAAACGAAAGGCUACUAUGUGGGGGAGAGAGUUUAAGAAAAUUAGGGACACAAUUAAAGAUGUUACUGAGCCAAUUCCAGAGGGAAAUGCUGUUAGGAGAGAGUCCACGGCCAUGUUGACUCUGAAGAAGUUGCUUUUAAAGAUUUGGUGCACAUUGGAGUUGAGAAGCACUUAGUCUAUGGUGCUUACAGCUUUCUAAUUGAAGAUCAUGCGAGGGUGAGAGUAUUCUUUGGUUUCCCAGUUGAGGAGCGUGAAGAUAUUCUAACACAGAUGAUGUAUGAACCCGAGGACCCUCCACGCUUGAAAAGUAUUUAAAUGAAUAAAUGGUGGUUUAACUUCUUGCUAGCUUUAUGCUAUUUUUUUUACCCUUUUCCCCUUGGACUCAUUCAAAGAUGUCAUGUUUAUGAUUUUGGAAGUUACCAUUUACAUUGUGGUUGCUUGUUGUGGAUGAUCUUGCGUUAAAAACCAAGAGUUUUUUUCUGUAGAUAAUGCUGCUCGUGUAAGAUUUCUUGUGCUCUUUGUUGACUUUGGAACUCAUUA